GACGAACGCUGGCGGCGUGCUUAACACAUGCCAGUCGAACGAAGAGCGAUGGAAGCUUGCUUCUAUCAAUCUUAGUGGCGAACGGGUGAGUAACGCGUAAUCAACCUGCCCUUCAGAGGGGGACAACAGUUGGAAACGACUGCUAAUACCGCAUACGAUCUAAUCUCGGCAUCGAGGAUAGAUGAAAGGUGGCCUCUACAUGUAAGCUAUCACUGAAGGAGGGGAUUGCGUCUGAUUAGCUAGUUGGAGGGGUAACGGCCCACCAAGGCGAUGAUCAGUAGCCGGUCUGAGAGGAUGAACGGCCACAUUGGGACUGAGACACGGCCCAGACUCCUACGGGAGGCAGCAGUGGGGAAUCUUCCGCAAUGGACGAAAGUCUGACGGAGCAACGCCGCGUGAGUGAUGACGGCCUUCGGGUUGUGAAGCUCUGUUAAUCGGGACGAAAGGCCUUCUUGCGAAUAGUGAGAAGGAUUGACGGUACCGGAAUAGAAAGCCACGGCUAACUACGUG
rnacentral:rRNA from 1 species